rnacentral:sRNA from 1 species
GCAUGCCGGGUGACAACCGGCCGCAAUGGGGAACGGCGGACGCAGCUGAUUUUGCCGGUUUCUGGCUGCGACAUCAACGUAUUGGUGCGCGCUGACGCCUAACCUGUUCCCGGC